rnacentral:rRNA from 1 species
AUUCUGGCUCAGGAUGAACGCUAGCGGCAGGCUUAACACAUGCAAGUCGAGGGGCAGCGCGAGUAGCAAUACUUGGCGGCGACCGGCGCAAGGGUGCGUAACGCGUGAGCAACAUGCCCGUAUCAGGGGGAUAAUCCAGGGAAACUUGGUCUAAUACCCCAUAGUAAUUUUGUAAGGCAUCUUAUAAGAUUUAAAGCUUUGGUGGAUACGGAUUGGCUCGCGUGACAUUAGCUGGAUGGUAAGGUAACGGCUUACCAUGGCUAUGAUGUCUAGGGGUUCUGAGAGGAAGGUCCCCCCACACUGGAACUGAGACACGGUCCAGACUCCUACGGGAGGCAGCAGUGAGGAAUAUUGGACAAUGGAUGGAAAUCUGAUCCAGCCAUGCCGCGUGAAGGAAAGAAGGUCCUAUGGAUUGUAAACUUCUUUUGUAUGGGAGCAAUAAGGCCUACGAGUAGGUUGAUGAGAGUACCAUACGAAUAAGCACCGGCUAACUCCGUGCCAGCAGCAGC